rnacentral:rRNA from 1 species
AUUGAACGCUGGCGGCAUGCUUUACACAUGCAAGUCGAACGGCAGCAUGGGUGCUUGCACCUGAUGGCGAGUGGCGAACGGGUGAGUAAUGUAUCGGAACAUAUCCGCAAGUGGGGGAUAACGUAGCGAAAGUUACGCUAAUACCGCCCAUUCCCUGAGGGGGAAAGGAGGGGAUCCGCAAGGACCUUUCGCUUACGGAGUGGCCGAUAUCAGAUUAGCUAGUUGGUGGGGUAAAGGCCUACCAAGGCGACGAUCUGUAGCGGGUCUGAGAGGAUGAUCCGCCACACUGGGACUGAGACACGGCCCAGACUCCUACGGGAGGCAGCAGUGGGGAAUUUUGGACAAUGGGGGCAACCCUGAUCCAGCCAUGCCGCGUGAGUGAAGAAGGCCUUCGGGUUGUAAAGCUCUUUCAGCUGGAAAAAAAUCGCAUCACCUAAUACGUGGUGUGGAUGAUGGUACCAGCAGAAGAAGCACCGGCUAACUACGUGCCAGCAGCCGCCGUAAUAC